rnacentral:rRNA from 1 species
GACGAACGCUGGCGGCGUGCCUAACACAUGCAAGUCGAGCGAAGAAUACAUAAAGAAAUCUUCGGAUGGAAUUAUAUAUUUCUUAGCGGCGGACGGGUGAGUAACGCGUGAGGAACCUGCCUUGUACUAGGGGAUAGCCUCGGGAAACCGGGAUUAAUACCCUAUGACACUUGAAAGUCGCAUGACUUUCAAGUCAAAGCGAUUUAGCGGUACAAGAUGGCCUCGCGUCCCAUUAGCUAGUUGGCGAGGUAAUAGCUCACCAAGGCGACGAUGGGUAGCCGGCCUGAGAGGGUGAACGGCCACACUGGAACUGAGACACGGUCCAGACUCCUACGGGAGGCAGCAGUGGGGAAUAUUGCACAAUGGAGGAAACUCUGAUGCAGCGACGCCGCGUGAGCGAUGAAGGUUUUCGAAUCGUAAAGCUCUGUCCUAAGGGACGAUAAUGACGGUACCUUAGGAGGAAGCCCCGGCUAACUACGUG